UUUUUUUUUUAUAGAGAAAACAAAACUAAAAAAUAAAAAGCAACAACACAGAAACAAAUGAAACCAGUUCGAAGUUGAAGGUACAAAAAAAUUUUAAUUUGGUCAUUUUUACCCUUUACCCCCAUACUUAAACUGGACAUUUCCCCAAUGUCAGAAAACAUUAUAAUGCAAAAAUAAAUAAAAUAAACAAAAUAAUAAAAAACAAAAUAAAGCAAUUGGACUGAAAACUUCCCUAAUUUGCAGUAAAAUCAAGCGAUGA
rnacentral:lncRNA from 1 species